UUAAGGGGGCACACUCAGGACAUAGGGCACGAUUGUGGUCCACCACGCACCCCAAAGGGCACGAGAUGGAGAAGGGACGACAACACAUCCAUAAUUCCAUCUGGCUUAGGUACGCAACACAGGAUCCCGAUUACACCCCUUGGGUUAAAUUAGAACAAGGGGAGUCAAUGAAAAGGAGUGUGGCUCGAUAGUUCGAUGCGGAUAGCAUGGAGCCUACCAAUCACACAACCAAAACACCACUCAUAUGCCCAUUGCGUACUAGUAGUAACACCCACGCACACCGGCCAAAAACCCACCCAACCAAUGUAUUGGUAGGGGAGUGGAAGGAACAAUGAAACGAAGGCACACCACAACCGCUUGGCAUGAGAACUACAAUGGAAAAAAUCCCACUGGGACUUGGUUGAGCCAAGACCAAGCCAACAAACUCAAUUUAUGCCCCCCAGUGAGCCGUUUCCAUCAAAGGGACUUGGUAUUGGGGUCACUGGCAACUUCGAAUGCAGGCAAGGCCUUGGCAAGGCCAAUGCACCGAUGGGUUGCCGACUUGGGAGCCACAAGGUGUCCCUAACAUGACGGGGGAGAAUGGGUAAGCGAAGCUCGAGCCCAUAGUAAUGCAUAAGCCACCCCAGGAGAUCUUUGCCCGAUAUAGGGAACUUGGUCCUGGGUCAUAUUACCGGUGAUUCACUCUUGGCCUUAAUUGGCCAGGUCGUUCCUCCGGCGCUGUUACUUUGAAGAAAUUUGAGUGCUCAAAGCAGGCCUACGCUUGUAUUCAUUAGCAUGGGAUAACAUCAUAGGAUUUCGAUCCUAUUGUGUUGGCCUUCGGGAUCGGAGUAAUGAUUAACAGAAACAGUCGGGGGCAUUUAUAUUUCAUAGUCAGAGGUGAAAUUCUUGGAUUUAUGAAAGAUGAACAACUGCGAAAGCAUUUGCCAAGGAUAUUUUCAUUAAUCAAGAAUGAAAGUUGGGGGCUCGAAGGCAAUCAAAUACCAUCCUAGUCUCAACCAUAAACGAUGCCGACCAGGGAUCAGCGAAUGUUGCUUUUAGGACUCCGCCGACACCUUAGGAGAAAUCAAAGUCUUUGGGUUCCGGGGGGAGCAUGGUCACAAGGCUGAAACUUAAAGGAAUUGACGGAAAGGCACCACUAGGAGUGUAGCCUGUUGCUUAAUUUGACUUAACAUGGGGAAACUUACCAGGUCCAGACAUAGUAAGGAUUGAUAGACUGAGAGCUCUUUAUUGAUUCUAUGGGUGGUGAUGCAUUGCCGUUCUUAGUUAGUGGAGCGAUUUGUCUGGUUAAUUCCGUUAACGAACGAGAUCUCAGCCUGCUAACUAGCUACACAGAGAUGAUCCUCUGUGGCUAGAUUUUUAGAGGGACUAUGGCCUUUUAGGCCACGAAAGUUUGACGCAAUAACAGGUCUGUGAUGCCCUUAGAUGUUCUGGGCCGCACGCACGCUACACUAUUGUAUUCAAAGAGUCUAUAGCCUUGGCCAACAGGCCCGGGUAAUCUUUAAAAUUUCAUGGUGAUAGGGAUAGAUCAUUGCAAUUUUUGGUCUUCAACGAGGAACUCCUAGUAAGUGCGAUUCAUCAGCUACGUUGACUGCACCCUUGUCCUUUGUACACACCACCCGUCGCUCCUACCAAUUUAACGGUCCUGUGAAGUGUUCGGAUCGCGAUGAUGUGGGAGAUUCGCUGCCUGCAACGUAGCAAGAAGUCCACUGAACCUUAUCAUUUAGAGGAAUGAGAAGUCGUAACAAGGUUUUCGUAGGUGAACCAAAAUCAA
rnacentral:rRNA from 1 species